AUGGAGGGCGACGACCGGAGCGCCCCGCUGCUGGCCAACGGCGCCGGACGGCCGUCGCUCCGGCGGCGCGACUCGGCGCGGUCGCUGCGCAGCAGCUUCCUGCGCCGGCUGCCGGACAAGAUGCGCACCGAGCUGGACCCCGAGCGCGGCGCCGACGUCGACGUCGCCCGCGUCAAGGACCUCUCCCAAGGUGAGAGGGAGUACUACAGGAAGCAGCUCGCCGCGCUGAGGACCUUCGAGGAGGUGGAGGCCCUGUGCAUGCCCGGCGAGUUCGGCUCGGACGACGAUGGCGACCCCGACGCCGACGACGCCGACGACGAGGAGCAGAAGCAGAGCGAGUUCGCCAUGAAGAUAUCCAACUACGCCAACAUCGUCCUCCUGGCCUUCAAGGUGUAUGCCACGAUCAGGACGGGGUCCAUGGCGAUCGCGGCGUCCACGCUGGACUCGCUGCUGGACCUGAUGGCCGGCGGCAUCCUCUGGUUCACGCACCUCUCCAUGAAGAAGGUGAACAUCUACAAGUACCCCAUCGGCAAGCUGCGCGUCCAGCCGGUGGGGAUCAUCGUCUUCGCCGCCAUCAUGGCCACUCUAGGCUUCCAGGUCCUGGUGCAGGCGAUCGAGCAGCUGGUGGAGAACGAGCCCGGCGACAAGCUGACCUCGGAGCAGCUGACAUGGCUCUACUCCAUCAUGCUCUCGGCCACCGCCGUCAAGCUCGCCCUCUGGUUCUACUGCAGGAGCUCGGGGAACAGCAUCGUCCGGGCGUACGCCAAGGACCACUACUUCGAUGUGAUCACCAACGUCGUCGGCCUGGUGGCCGCCGUCCUGGGAGACAGGUUCCUGUGGUGGAUCGACCCCGCCGGGGCCGUGCUCCUCGCCGUGUACACCAUUGCGAACUGGUCCGGGACCGUGCUUGAGCAAGCAGUCUCGCUGGUGGGGCGGAGCGCGCCGCCGGAGAUGCUGCAGAUGCUGACCUACCUCGCCAUGAAGCACGACGCGCGCGUGCAGCGGGUCGACACGGUCCGGGCCUACAGCUUCGGCGCCCUCUACUUCGUCGAGGUCGACAUCGAGCUCUCGGAGGACAUGCGGCUGCGGGAGGCGCACGCCAUCGGGGAGUCGCUGCAGGAGAGGAUCGAGAAGCUGCCGGAAGUGGAGCGGGCGUUUGUCCAUGCGGACUUCGAGAGCACCCAUAAGCCGGAGCACACGGUCCGGAGCAGGCUGCCGGCGACCGAGCCCUGA
rnacentral:rRNA from 1 species